CCGCGAGGGAGCCUGGGAAGAGGCGGGGAACAAUAUGGCGGAUGGCGAGGAGCCAAUGGCUGUGGAUGGUGGGUGUGGGGACACUGGAGACUGGGAAGGUCGCUGGGACCAUGUAAAGAAGUUCCUCGAGCGAUCUGGACCCUUCACACACCCCGAUUUCGAGCCCAGCACCGAAUCUCUCCAGUUCUUGUUAGAUACAUGUAAAGUUCUAGUCAUUGGAGCUGGCGGCUUAGGAUGUGAGCUCCUGAAAAAUCUGGCAUUGUCUGGUUUUCGACAGAUUCAUGUUAUAGACAUGGACACUAUAGAUGUUUCCAAUCUAAAUAGGCAGUUUUUAUUUAGGCCUAAAGAUGUUGGAAGACCUAAGGCUGAAGUUGCUGCAGAAUUUCUAAAUGACAGAGUUCCUAAUUGCAAUGUAGUUCCACAUUUCAACAAGAUUCAGGAUUUUAAUGACACUUUCUAUCGACAGUUUCAUAUUAUUGUAUGUGGGCUGGACUCCAUCAUAGCCCGAAGAUGGAUAAAUGGCAUGCUGAUCUCCCUUCUGAAUUAUGAAGACGGUGUGUUAGAUCCCAGCUCCAUUGUUCCUUUGAUAGAUGGGGGGACAGAAGGUUUUAAAGGAAAUGCCCGGGUGAUCCUGCCUGGAAUGACGGCUUGUGUGGAGUGCACGCUGGAGCUGUACCCGCCACAGGUUAAUUUCCCCAUGUGCACCAUUGCUUCUAUGCCCAGGCUCCCCGAGCACUGUAUUGAGUACGUGAGGAUGCUGCAGUGGCCCAAGGAACAGCCCUUUGGAGAAGGGGUUCCGUUAGAUGGAGAUGACCCCGAACACAUUCAGUGGAUUUUCCAGAACUCCCUGGAGAGAGCGUCACUGUAUAAUAUCAGGGGUGUCACAUACAGACUCACUCAAGGGGUAGUAAAACGAAUCAUUCCUGCUGUCGCUUCCACAAAUGCAGUCAUUGCAGCUGUGUGUGCCACUGAGGUUUUUAAAAUAGCCACAAGUGCAUACAUUCCCCUUAACAAUUACUUGGUGUUCAACGAUGUAGAUGGGCUGUACACUUACAUGUUUGAAGCAGAGAGAAAGGAAAACUGCCCAGCUUGCAGCCAGCUUCCUCAGAAUAUUCAGUUUUCCCCGUCAGCCAAGCUACAGGAGGUUUUGGAUUAUCUGACCAACAGUGCUUCUCUGCAAAUGAAAUCUCCAGCCAUCACAGCCACACUAGAGGGAAGAAAUAGGACACUUUACUUACAGUCAGUAACUUCUAUUGAAGAACGAACAAGACCAAAUCUCUCAAAGACAUUGAAAGAAUUGGGGCUUGUUGACGGACAAGAGCUCGCGGUUGCUGAUGUCACCACACCACAGACUGUCCUGUUCAAACUUCAUUUUACUUCCUAAGGAAAAUAAAUCUGCAUAUAAUAGAAAACUUAUGGAAAAAUAUACUUCACAGAUGCUAAGAAGUUUAAUUGAUGUCAUUUUUAGCAGUAGUGUUGCUGGAAUUUGACCUUUUUUGUAUAACAAACCACUCUUUUUUAACUUUAUAACUUUCCCUGGAAGACAGGAUUUGGGGGUUGGUGCUCAUCAGCAUUUUCGUUAAUAAUAUGGGAAGCGAUGGCCGGAGAGAGAGAUUAUGAGAAAAGGUACUGCUUCUUUUGGAGGAGGCAGCCGUCCUCUUGUGUGAAUUUUGUUAUUAUGGUCAAAGAGUGCAUUCCUCAGCUUUCAUUUGAGGCCCCACAUAUACAAAAGAUGUCCCUUUAAAGAAAACAAGGAAUUAUGUUUUAAAUGACAUUAAAUAUUACAGCCUGACAUCUGGAGUAUAUUGAACAUAGGCUAUAUCUUGAUUUAAUAUUCAUUUAAUUGUGGUUGUCCAAAUGAAUAUUAAUUAUUGCAAAGUUUAUCUUGUCCACAAUAACUUGUAAAAUGGUGUUAUAGCUGAAUAGCUGAGCAUGGAAAUGGGAAAUAUUUUCAUGUGUUUAUUUGCAGUGCCAUAGAGGCCAGUAUGCAUAAUAUUAAAACCAAGACAUGGCUGUUUAAAAAUUUAAUGUUUAAACAGUUAUCACUGAUGCUUUUGCACUAUUUAUUAAUAAAAUCAUAUAUUGUCUAAAA